CCACACCAAACCCGCACCUUUAUUCAGUAUGUAAACACCGUCCUACAAAGCGGAGUGACCCAGAACCUCCCCCAAAUCACAGCAGACCGUCAGCUCCCAGCACACCAUCCUGGAAGAGAGGAUGCUGCCUCCUGCUGCUGCUGCUGCUGCUACAUCCAGCCGCUGCCGGGGAAGGGACACGCUGGGCACUGCAGAGCCAGCAGGGCUGUGCACACAGCAGAGGUCCGGGGCAGCAAAAAGGCACAGGGAGAGGACCGCCAUCCCGGACACCCAGCGAGGGAAUGGGGAGACGGGAUCACCUCCCAUGGAUGUGGGAAAGGAGACCCCGCAGUGCUGGGAGCAGCCCCCGCCCACCACCCCCAGAAGGUACGACAGUAAAUUAAAAAAAAAAAAAAAGGCAGCAAAAGUUGAGGUCCUGCUGAGAGGCGUCUGAGGUAACAGCUGUCUGUGGAGAAGUCCCAGCGAGCACCUCGCCGGGAUACCAUCACUGCUUCCUUCUCUCCUUCUUGGCAGGCACGAUGGGCGCUAUCUCCUCCUCAGACAUGUCAUCGUCAUCAUCCUCCUCCUCCUCCUCGAAGGAAGCGUCGUCCCUGUGCAAGAUCUGGUGCCAGCCGGCGAGGUGCACGGGGCCGGAGCCCGCUGCCAGGCGGAACGUCACUGGAGGCUGAAGCUUGAAGUUGUCCAGGCUCAGCAAGGGCUGGCACGACAACUUCAGGUUUGCCACCGGCACAGUGAUCUCCUGGUUCUUGUGGUUUCGCCCAAUGACCUCCACCACGUUGCACUCAUCCUUGGCACCGUCCGUGAGGCACACCACAGACAGGGCCAAAACGUGGUCAGAGUCGUCAUCUUCAUCCACCUGAAACGUGUAGGACUUGGUGCUGGCAGUCAGCUCACAGCCGAACAGGACGCUGCCGGGGCCGUGCGGCUCCAUGAGGCCGUAGCGCGGGGCGGGCAGUUCCGUGCCGAGUCGAGCCGAGCCGUGCUUUGCCGGG
rnacentral:lncRNA from 1 species